rfam:Stegodyphus mimosarum contig65529, whole genome shotgun sequence.
AAAAAGGCUCUUUUAAGAGCCACUUUUUCUUUUAUUUUUCAAAAUC